CCUACGGGUGGCAGCAGUGGGGAAUAUUGCGCAAUGGGCGAAAGCCUGACGCAGCGACGCCGCGUGAGGGAUGAAGGUCUUCGGAUCGUAAACCUCUGUCAGCAGGGAAGAACGGUCACUGUGCUAAUCAGCAGUGAAUUGACGGUACCUGCAAAGGAAGCACCGGCUAACUCCGUGCCCGCAGCCGCGGGAAUACGGAGGGUGCGAGCGGUAAUCGGAAUUACUGGGCGUAAAGCGCUCGUAGGCGGUAUGUAAAGUCAGGGGUGAAAACCCCGGGCUCAACGUGAGAAAUGCCUUUGAAACUGGCAAACUGGAGUGUGUGAGAGGAUAGGGGAAUUCCAGGUGUAGGAGUGAAAUCCGUAGAUACCUGGAGGAACAUCAGUGGCGAAGGCGACUAUCUGGCACAUAACUGACGCUGAGGAGCGAAAGCGUGGGUAGCAAACAGGAUUAGAUACCCCAGUAGUC
rnacentral:rRNA from 1 species